UUUUUGCCAAAUUUUGCUUUAUACGUCUGCCUCCUCUAUCUGAAUUGUCUCAUUCAUGCUUUUUCAUUGGGUUCCUCUGGAUAUAUUUUCUAUUUUAGUUUUGCAUGUGUUUGAACUAGAAGUUUGACGAUUUUGACGGAAAAUACAAGCUAAUUAGGGUAUUAUUACUUAGUUUUAGAAAUCGAGCUCAGGCGGCGGUGAUGUGAGUGGGGGAUGUUAUUUGCAGCUGAGCAGCAGGAGGCUGGAGAAACCCUUGGUGGGUUUUGAAAAGAAAAGACGGAAACACCCUUUGAAGGAAUCGAAAAGACAUAAUCGGAGUUUGAGGGUUAGGGAGAUGAACGGCAAUCUUGGAAUUAUGGGUCUGUUGAGGGUGAAGAGGAGAAGAAGGAAGAAGUUCAUGUACAGGAAAAUCAGAAGGAAAUUGACAACAAUGGCAGCUUUGAAGGUGAAAACUUGCUGGAAUUUAAUGGUACAGAGAGGAUUUGAAGAAGAAAGAUGAGUCCAACUAUGCAGGGGUUGCUAUUGAAGAGUAAUACAAAUGACAUUUACCUCAGAAAAUUACUAAAUAAUUAAGGAGUAUGCAUAAGAGCAAUUUCAAGUUUAUCACCCUUCUAUCAUUGAUUAAUUUGUAGGAACAACAUAUAGCAUUUCUCUGGGCACUGCAAAGAAAAUGCUUACAAAGAGUUGAAGAGUUUACGUUAUUUAUGACACAUUGUAUACUCCAGAAGUUGGGACACCACUAGAAUUUGAACGAUAGAUUGUAAAAUCAUAACGUUCCGAACAACUUCUUGAGCAUUUUUUUUUGUCCUGUAUAAGUUGUUUGAGUUGCUUUAAUGCUUGAGACUUUGUUUUACAUUUUUCA